rnacentral:misc_RNA from 1 species
CGUGCUGAAGGGAAAAUAAUCUCUAGAGAUUAUAUGACCCCAGAAGACAAAAAGUGGCUGGAAAUGGACAUUGAAGAUAGCAUCCGUCUGGCUGGAGGAAAUUAUGAGAUUCCUUUUUAUGAGAGAGAUGAAUGGAUCAAACAUUUCGGAGAGAAACCGGAGAAAGGUCGGUACCGCUAUGCUGGUGAAUGGAAGCAUGGCAGGAUGCAUGGAUGUGGAGUAUAUGAACUUAACGAGCGCACAAUAUGGGGGAGG